CGGACGGGUGAGUAACGCGUGGGUAACCUGCCUCAUACAGGGGGAUAACAGUUGGAAACGACUGCUAAUACCGCAUAAGCGCACAGGAUUGCACGAUCCAGUGUGAAAAACUCCGGUGGUAUGAGAUGGACCCGCGUCUGAUUAGCCAGUUGGCGGGGUAACGGCCCACCAAAGCGACGAUCAGUAGCCGACCUGAGAGGGUGACCGGCCACAUUGGGACUGAGACACGGCCCAA
rnacentral:rRNA from 1 species